UCGAGAAUCUUCCGCAAUGGGCGAAAGCCUGACGGAGCGACGCCGCGUGGAGGACGAAGGCCCUUGGGUUGUAAACUCCUGUCACGAGUUAUGAAUGUUCGUAUGUUAAUAGCAUGCGAGUUGACGUAUGCUCGAGAGGAAGCACCGGCUAACUCUGUGCCAGCAGCCGCGGUAAUACAGAGGGUGCAAACGUUGUUCGGAAUCACUGGGCAUAAAGCGCACGUAGGCGGUCUUGUAAGUGUGAAGUGAAAGCCCACGGCUCAACCGUGGAAUUGCUUUGCAUACUGCAGGACUCGAGGACGGUAGGGGAGAGCGGAACUCCUGGUGGAGCGGUGAAAUGCGUAGAUAUCAGGAGGAACACCGGUGGCGAAGGCGGCUCUCUGGUCCGUUUCUGACGCUGAGGUGCGAAAGCCAGGGUAGCGAACGGGAUUAGAUACCCCCGUAGUCC
rnacentral:rRNA from 1 species